AUGCAUUUUCAUGAUAGAGAUAAUAUUGGAAGGAGUAUGAUGAUGUCAGACAUCACAUAUUACAAUUUGGUAGCACUGAUGGAGACAGAAGGGUAUGGUUUUAGAGAUUAUAUGUAUUAUGUGAGGGACCCUGGGCUAGGGAUUGAAGGAAUGGAAGAAAUAGAUGAUGAUGAUAAGUUAGAGGAAAUUUUAGACCACAUAGCAGAGCAGAAUAACAAGACAUUGAAUGUGACAAUAGUUAGGGCCAGUGCAGAGAAAGUUCCCAAUAUAAAUACCAGUGUUAAUGUCAUUGAGAUGCAGAGCCCAAUAGAACAAAUUGGAGAGCCCAAACUGUAUCAGAUUGAUGAUGAAGGAGUGUUGUUCAAUACUGAAAAUGUGCAUGUAGAAGCUGAGAGUUGUGAUGCAGGAGGAGAACAAGAGCCAAUGCCCUUGCAGUUUGACACACAGCAGAGCAGAAUAAAUGUGAGUCUGGAACCUGCUUUAGGUGAUGCAGUAGUGGAAGAAUACCAUGUGACUGACAAUUCAGAGGAGCAACUGUUAAUAGAGCAAGAAAUGGAGGAGAAAAGGAGAAAUGAAAUUGAAAUGUUUAGGAAGAACAAGAAGGAAAGAGUGAAGGAGACUUGUUUGAACAAGAAGGAAAGAGUGAAGGAGACUUGUUUGAACAGGAAAGCAGCAGUGAUGGACAAUAAAGAGGAUAGUGAUGAUGAUGAUCUAGUAGAAUAUGGUGAUAUCUUAGCUAGGCUUGAGGAGAUGAGAAGACAGAGGAAUGACCCAGAACUUCAUUUUGAAUGGGACACAGAUGUUGAUGAAAUGUGUGACUCAAAGGUGGAUGAUGAGCUGUAUGUGCCACAAGGUGAAGAAGAGGAUGUAGAGGAGGAGGAAUUGGAGGAAGAGGAACAAGAGGAUGAGCUAGGGCAAGAUGUACCAAACAAGAGAAGGGCCAAGAGACAAAGAAAAGGCCCAACAAGCAAUUCACAUGGGAGUAUAGAACACAUGUUUGAGGAGGACUGGAUUCCAUCAUCUGAUGAGGACAAGAAACCACAAGACCUUGGUGUGGAAGAUGAUGAUGGUGCUGAGGCAUUGGCAUAUGUGUUGCCCAAUGGUAGAAAAAGUAGAGUAAAGAAGAUGAAGAAGAGGUUAUGGUUUGAUGAGCAUAGAGCUCAUCCAGAGGAGCAAUUUGUGAAGCAUCUUUGCUUCUUAAAUGUGUAUCAGUUUAGAACUGCACUUCAAACCCUGCACAUUGCUCAAAACAGGAACUUUGUCUACCAUAGAAACUGCAGUGAUAGGGUGAUAGCACAAUGCAUAGAUGAACAAUGUCCCUUCUAUAUAGCAGCUUCUCAGAUUGCAAAUGAGAAGUCAUUUACAAUUAGGAAGGUGUAUUUAGUGCACACAUGCCCUUCUAUGUCAGAGAACACUAAAGUCACUGCUAAGUGGGUUUCAAAAUUCUGUGAGGAGGCUAUCAGAAAUGACCCAUGCACAAUAAUCACAAGUAUUAUUAAUACGGCAAAGAGCAAGUAUGGUGUGGACAUAUCAACACACAUGGCAUACAGGGCAAAGAGGGCAGCAAAGGCUGUUGUGUUAGGAGACCAGAAAGCCCAAUACACUAGGAUUAGGGAUUAUUUACAGGCUAUGUUGGAUACAAAUCCAGGUUCAAGAUGCAUUGUGACAACAAGAUAUCUGAAGGAGCAUCCAAGCACUAACCCUAGGUUUCAUGCACUGUUCAUAUGCUUGAAUGGAUGCAAAGAAGGGUUUCUCAAUGGCUGCAGAGCAUUCAUAGGUCUGGAUGGUUGUUUCAUCAAGCUCACUACUAGUCAACAAAUUCUAGCUGCAACUGGAAGAGAUGGGAACAAUAAUAUUUUUCCCAUUGCUUUUGGAAUUGUUGAUAAGGAGGACACUAACACCUGGACCUGGUUUUUAUAUCAGUUGAGACAAGCAUUAGGUGGAGAAUCUGGGAAGUUUGGGAACUACACAAUAAUUUCAGAUAGGCAGAAGGGCCUUUUAAAAGCCAUUACCAGAGUGUUUCCCAAUUGUCCCCAAAGGUUUUGUCUUAGACAUAUCUACCAGAACUUUCAAAAUGCUGGGUUUAGAGGGCCUGAAUUAAAGCAAUACAUGGAUGCAGCUAGUUAUUCAUAUACUGAACAUGGUUUUAAAACUGCAAUGGCUGCAUUAAAGAAUGAGAGUGAGGCUGCUUGGGAAUGGCUAAGCAAAAUACCUAAACACACUUGGGCCAGACAUGCAAUGGAUAUGAACUGCAAAACAGACUUAGUUGUUAACAAUAUAAGUGAGGUUUUCAACAAGUGGAUUCUAGAUGUCAGGGCUAAACCAAUUAGGACCAUGGUGGAUGGAAUUAGGACAAAGUUAAUGGUCAAGUUCGAUGCAAAUAGAACAAAGACUGAGAUUGUAAGAUGGGAAAUUUGUCCAACAUAUGCUGAGAAAUUAGAGGAAGCAAAGAAGUUUGCAAGGAAUUGUCAUGCUUUGAUGGCUGGGCCCAAUCUUUACCAAGUCACUAGUGGGGAGAGAACUUAUGAUGUGAACCUACAACAUAGGACUUGUGGGUGCAAGAAGUGGGAUAUGACAGCAGUUCCUUGCAAUCAUGAUAUUUCUGCCAUACACAAGGCUAAGCUUCAGCCAGAGGACUUUGUUCAUGAUUUCUUCAAAAAAAAGAUGUACCUGGUAGCUUACAGUCCCAUUAUAUAUCCUGUACCUGGACCUGAUAUGUGGCCAAGGACAGACAGUAUGGACAUUGAGGCUCCAAUUUUCAAAGAACACAAGGGAAGGGCAUAG
rnacentral:rRNA from 1 species